rnacentral:ribozyme from 1 species
GCCAAGAAGGUAGUAGGAGACUAUUUGAAGCGCAGAGCUGCGAUACGUUCCAGCGGUAUUUUCUGUUGUAGUUUGGUCGCAGUCAUGUUAAAAUUGAGUCUCAAAACGCAAUUGUUCCUUUGGCAGCUACACUAUCCUAAAAAAUUUUGGACUUCGCCUGCGUUGCCUAUGAUAAUUUUGUGAGUGCAUACGGA